GAUGAACGCUGGCGGCGUGCCUAAUACAUGCAAGUCGAGCGAACAGACGAGGAGCUUGCUCCUCUGACGUUAGCGGCGGACGGGUGAGUAACACGUGGAUAACCUACCUAUAAGACUGGGAUAACUUCGGGAAACCGGAGCUAAUACCGGAUAAUAUAUUGAACCGCAUGGUUCAAUAGUGAAAGACGGUUUUGCUGUCACUUAUAGAUGGAUCCGCGCCGCAUUAGCUAGUUGGUAAGGUAACGGCUUACCAAGGCAACGAUGCGUAGCCGACCUGAGAGGGUGAUCGGACACACUGGAACUGAGACACGGUCCAGACUACUACGGGAGGCAGCAGUAGGGAAUCUUCCGCAAUGGGCGAAAGCAUGAAGGAGCAACGCCGCGUGAGUGAUGAAGGUCUUCGGAUCGUAAAACUCUGUUAUUAGGGAAGAACAAAUGUGUAAGUAACUAUGCACGUAUUGACGGUACCUAAUCAGAAAGCCACGGCUAACUACGUG
rnacentral:rRNA from 1 species